CCCGGGAGGCCGGCUCAGGCUCGGCGAGGGGCGUUCCUCCGCCUCGGUCCCGGAUGGCGCGCUCCCCGCCCUCUGCGGGGCUUUUGUCCGUGGAGUCUAGGCGUCUGGGGCGGCGCGCAGGGGGAGGUGGCCGUGUCUCCGGUUCAACUUCUCGUCUUUGUCCUUCUUCAUGUACUAUAGGCUAUUUUUUUGGUUUCGUCAAAAAGCCAUGUAGACUUGCCUGACCUUUGAAGACUGCUUUUAAGACUUCUCAUAAGACAAUUGGUGAGUCUGCUAGGGAAAAGCAUGUUGGUUUUUAUUUCUUGCCCACUCUAAAGGUAUUUGUCCUGGAUAAAGUGUUAUUCUACCAGCAUUACUUUGCAUAUAUUUUUGUUUACUUGUAACAGUUCUUAGCGUUUUUUUUUCCCCCGGAGGAAGAUUCAUCCUAAGCUAACAUUCAUGCCAGCCUUCCUCUAUUUUUUAGUAUGUGAGCCACCAGCACAGCAUGGCUUCUAACAGAGUGAUGUAGGUCUGCGCCCAGGAACCACACCCAGGCUGCUGAAGCAGAGCACGCCGAACUUAACCACUAGGCCACUGGGGCUGGCCCAACAUUUCUUUUUAAUGUUUAGGAAAAUAUUUUAUGAUAACACUUUUGGAAAGCGCUUGGGGUUCUUGAGGAAAAUCCCUAUAAA
rnacentral:lncRNA from 1 species